rnacentral:rRNA from 1 species
GAUGAACGCUAGCGGCAGGCCUAAUACAUGCAAGUCGAACGGUAACAUGAAUAGCAAUAUUUGAUGACGAGUGGCGCACGGGUGCGUAACGCGUAUGCAAUCUACCUUCAACUGGUGAAUAGCCCGAAGAAAUUCGGAUUAACACACCAUAGUAUAUUACGAGUGGCAUCACUUAAAUAUUAAAACUCCGGUGGUUGAAGAUGAGCAUGCGUGACAUUAGCUAGUUGGUGAGGUAAUGGCUCACCAAGGCUACGAUGUCUAGGGGAUCUGAGAGGAUUAACCCCCACACUGGUACUGAGACACGGACCAGACUCCUACGGGAGGCAGCAGUAAGGAAUAUUGGACAAUGGUCGCAAGACUGAUCCAGCCAUGCCGCGUGCAGGAUGACGGCCCUAUGGGUUGUAAACUGCUUUUAUACGGGAAAAAACCCACCUACGUGUAGGUGGCUGAUUGUACUGUAAGAAUAAGGAUCGGCUAACUCCGUGCCAGCAGCCGCGGUAAUACGGAGGAUCCAAGCGUUAUCCGGAUUCAUUGGGUUUAAAGGGUGCGUAGGCGGAAUGAUAAGUCAGUGGUGAAAUCUCUCAGCUUAACUGAGAAACUGCCAUUGAUACUGUCAAUCUUGAGUAUAUUUGAUGUGGGCGGAAUGUGUCAUGUAGCGGUGAAAUGCUUAGAUAUGACACAGAACACCGAUUGCGAAGGCAGCUCACAAAACUAUAACUGACGCUGAGGCACGAAAGCGUGGGUAUCAAACAGGAUUAGAUACCCUGGUAGUCCACGCUGUAAACUAUGAUUACUCGAUGUUUGCGAUACACAGUAAGCGUCUAAGCGAAAGCGAUAAGUAAUCCACCUGGGGAGUACGCUCGCAAGAGUG